GAUGAAGAACGUAGCGAAAUGCGAUAAGUAAUGUGAAUUGCAGAAUUCAGUGAAUCAUCGAAUCUUUGAACGCACAUUGCGCCCGCCAGUAUUCUGGCGGGCAUGCCUGUUCGAGCGUCAUUUCAACCAUCAAGCCCCCCGGCUUGUGUUGGGGACCUGCGGCUGCCGCAGGCCCUGAAAAGCAGUGGCGGGCUCGCUGUCACACCGAGCGUAGUAGCAUACAUCUCGCUCUGGGCGUGCUGCGGGUUCCGGCCGUUAAACCACCUUCAUAACCCAAGGUUGACCUCGGAUCAGGUAGGGAUACCCGCUGAACUUAAGCAUAUCAAUAAGCGGAGGA
rnacentral:misc_RNA from 1 species